AACUUUUGGCAAUGGAUCUCUUGUCUCUCCCAUCGAUGAAGAACGCAGCGAAAUGCGAUAAGUAAUGUGAAUUGCAGAAUUCAGUGAAUCAUCGAAUCUUUGAACGCACCUUACUCUCCUUGGUAUUCCGAGGAGCAUGCCUGUUUGAGUGUCAUUAAUAUAUAUUCAACUUCUCUUGUUUGAGUCAGUAGGAUGUCGAAGUAUGCUGGCUUCUUAAAAGAUGUUCAGCACUUCUGAAAUACAUUAGCACAACAACGUAGUUCAGUAGUCUGAUAACUAUCUAGGCUAUUGAAUGUGACGGUCAGUCCAUCUUUCUAGCAAUCCUCAUAAAAUUUCGUAUUUAGUGGCGCUUUACAUCAGGGAGAGAGACCCGCUAUCCAUUGGCAAAAGAAAUAGGAAUGGGC
rnacentral:misc_RNA from 1 species